GUUAUAGGGUCAAGUGACUAAGUGCAUGUGGUGGAUGCCUUGGCGAUCACAGGCGAUGAAGGACGUGCGAGCCUGCGAAAAGCUCCGGGGAGCUGGCAACGAAGCUUUGAUCCGGAGAUGUCCGAAUGGGGAAACCCACCCUUCGGGGUACUCCUGCCUGAAUACAUAGGGUAGGUAGAGCGAACCUGGUGAACUGAAACAUCUAAGUAGCCAGAGGAAAAGAAAUCAACCGAGAUUCCCAAAGUAGUGGCGAGCGAAAUGGGAGUAGCCUGCACGAUUUAGCGGACUUGUUAAGAGAACGGAUUGGAAACUCCGGCCAUAGAGGGUGAUAGCCCCGUAUUUGAAAACAAGUUUGUGGAACUGAGCGUGCGAAAAGUAGGGCGGGACACGAGAAAUCCUGUCUGAAGAUGGGGGGACCAUCCUCCAAGGCUAAAUACUCGUGAUCGACCGAUAGUGAACCAGUACCGUGAGGGAAAGGCGAAAAGAACCCCGGGAGGGGAGUGAAAUAGAUCCUGAAACCGCAUGCAUACAAACAGUGGGAGCCCCAGCACAAUGGGCUUUCGGUUCUUUCGAGGAGCGCGUAGCGCGACUCAAAAGAACUAAAGAAGAAAUAGAUUCUGAUGAGUACAUCGAGUGAAGGUGACUUCGGAUCGCGAAGCGAGACGAAAGGCGCCCCAGCACGGUGGACUCGUCGAGAGUCCAUCGUGCUGGGGUGACUGCGUACCUUUUGUAUAAUGGGUCAGCGACUUACGUUCAGUUGCGAGCUUAACCGAAUAGGGGAGGCGCAGCGAAAGCGAGUCUGAACAGGGCGUUCAGUAGCUGGGCGUAGACCCGAAACCGGAUGAUCUAUCCAUGGCCAGGUUGAAGGUGCGGUAACACGCACUGGAGGACCGAACCCACUAGUGUUGCAAAACUAGGGGAUGAGCUGUGGAUAGGGGUGAAAGGCUAAACAAAUCCGGAGAUAGCUGGUUCUCCUCGAAAGCUAUUUAGGUAGCGCCUCGUGUAUCACUCUCGGGGGUAGAGCACUGUAAUCGUUGGGGGGGUCGUCUAGAUCUACCCCGCGAUAGCAAACUCCGAAUACCGAGAAGUGCGAGCACGGGAGACAGACUUGGGGUGCUAACGUCCUGAGUCAAGAGGGAAACAACCCAGACCCACAGCUAAGGUCCCAAAUGACGUGCUAAGUGGUAAACGAAGUGGGAAGGCACAGACAGCCAGGAAGUUGGCUUAGAAGCAGCCAUCCUUCAAAGAAAGCGUAAUAGCUCACUGGUCGAGUCGUCCUGCGCGGAAGAUGUAACGGGGCUAAGCACGUAACCGAAGCUUGGGAUGCAUACUAUGUAUGCGUGGUAGAGGAGCGUUCCGUAGGCCUGCGAAGGUGUCCUGUGAGGGAUGCUGGAGGUAUCGGAAGUGCGAAUGCUGACAUGAGUAGCGAUAAAAUGGGUGAAAGUCCCAUUCGCCGGAAGCCCAAGGUUUCCUGCGCAACGUUCAUCGGCGCAGGGUGAGUCGGCCCCUAAGGCGAGGCUGAGAAGCGUAGCUGAUGGGAAACAGGUCAAUAUUCCUGUACCGCUAUCCAAUGCGAUGGGGGGACGGAGAAAGGUAGGCCAGCCAGGUGUUGGAUGUCCUGGUUUAAGCGUGUAGGCGUGCCCUCUAGGCAAAUCCGGAGGGCUUAGCUGAGGCGUGAUGACGAGGAACUACGGUUCCGAAGUGGUUGAUCCUAAGCUUCCAAGAAAAGCCUCUAAGCUUCAGUUGGAUAGUGACCGUACCGCAAACCGACACAGGUGGGCAGGGUGAGAAUCCUAAGGCGCUUGAGAGAACUCUGGAGAAGGAACUCGGCAAAUUGACACCGUAACUUCGGGAGAAGGUGUGCCCCGGUAGUGUGUAGAUCCUCGCGGUCGAAGCACGAUGGGGUUGCAGUGAAAUGGUGGCUGCGACUGUUUAACAAAAACACAGCACUCUGCAAACACGAAAGUGGACGUAUAGGGUGUGACGCCUGCCCGGUGCCGGAAGGUUAAGUGAUGGGGUGCAAGCUCUUGAUCGAAGCCCCGGUAAACGGCGGCCGUAACUAUAACGGUCCUAAGGUAGCGAAAUUCCUUGUCGGGUAAGUUCCGACCCGCACGAAUGGCGUAACGAUGGCCACACUGUCUCCUCCAGAGACUCAGCGAAAUUGAAGUGUUUGUGAAGAUGCAAUCUCCCCGCGGCUAGACGGAAAGACCCCAUGAACCUUUACUGCAGCUUUGCAUUGGACUUUGACGGGACAUGUGUAGGAUAGGUGGGAGGCUGUGAAGCGGGAACGCUAGUUCUCGUGGAGCCAACCUUGAAAUACCACCCUUGUGUCGUUGAGGUUCUAACCUGGGCCCCUUAUCGGGGUCGGGGACCGUGCAUGGUAGGCAGUUUGACUGGGGCGGUCUCCUCCCAAAAGGUAACGGAGGAGCACGAAGGUUGGCUAGACACGGUCGGAAAUCGUGUUGAUAGUGCAAGGGCAUAAGCCAGCUUAACUGCGAGACCCACAAGUCGAGCAGAUGCGAAAGCAGGUCCUAGUGAUCCGGUGGUUCUGUAUGGAAGGGCCAUCGCUCAACGGAUAAAAGGUACUCUGGGGAUAACAGGCUGAUUCCGCCCAAGAGUUCACAUCGACGGCGGAGUUUGGCACCUCGAUGUCGGCUCAUCUCAUCCUGGGGCUGUAGCCGGUCCCAAGGGUAUGGCUGUUCGCCAUUUAAAGAGGUACGUGAGCUGGGUUCAAAACGUCGUGAGACAGUUUGGUCCCUAUCUGCCGUGGGCGCUGGAGAUUUGACGGGGGCUGCUCCUAGUACGAGAGGACCGGAGUGGACGCACCUCUGGUGUACCGGUUAUCACGCCAGUGGUAUCGCCGGGUAGCUAAGUGCGGAAGAGAUAAACGCUGAAAGCAUCUAAGCGUGAAACUCGCCUGAAGAUGAGAUCUCCCGGAGGCUUGACCUCCUUGAAGGGUCGUCGAAGACCACGACGUUGAUAGGCUGGGUGUGGAAGCGCAGCAAUGCGUUAAGCUAACCAGUACUAAUUGCCCGUAAGGCUUGACCCUAUAACCUU
rnacentral:rRNA from 1 species